rnacentral:sRNA from 2 species
AGGCAACGGCCCGAAGGGCGAAGCGCGCAGCGCUGAGUCAUCCUUCCCCCACCACCA